UACGUAGGGGGCUAGCGUUGUCCGGAAUCAUUGGGCGUAAAGCGCGUGUAGGCGGCCCGGUAAGUCCGCUGUGAAAGUCGGGGGCUCAACCCUCGGAUGCCGGUGGAUACUGCUGGGCUAGAGUACGGAAGAGGCGAGUGGAAUUCCCGGUGUAGCGGUGAAAUGCGCAGAUAUCGGGAGGAACACCAAUUGCGAAGGCAGCUCGCUGGGACGUUACUGACGCUGAGACGCGAAAGCGUGGGGAGCAAACAGG
rnacentral:rRNA from 1 species